UCUAUUAAAGAAUAAAUCUACAUGGCGAAUAUUGAAUAGAAGAAUAAUUUGCUUAAUAAUAACAUCUAGAAUUAUGAAGUUGAAGUUGCUUAAUAAUAAGGUAAAUGCUGUAGAAGUGGAAUGUGAAGCCAAAACUCUGAAAUAACAGGAAUAACUCAGUGUUUCAGGCUAACAAGGACUAUUAUUUUACAAACUUUUAAUUUUUGAUACAUAGCUGCUGCAUCUUCUCUAUUUGUGUAAAUGCCCACGCAAGAACUAAAAGACGCGCCUCGACUGCAACAAUUUACUCGCAUGCUUAAUGCAUUGCGUCAAUUGUUAUUAAUUUGUGAGAGUGUCAACUGCACUACAAAAGAUAAAGACAACAUCAUAGACAAAUACAUGCAUAUACAUAUAAAUGAUGUAGUUGGAAUCAUAUGCAACAUUUGUCUGUAAUCGCACGAGUCUCAUGUCAAAUUCUUGACACAUACCCAGUCGAGCCGGAGGUCAACUGCCUCUGAUAUAAAAUUGUGAAUACUAAAUUAUGCAGUCGAUAUCAAUUACCAUAGUCGAAGGGCACCUGAACUUCUGCAGCUUUGACUAUUUCAAUCCUAUUUAGUUGCUCAUUUCAAUAUAUCGACUUAUUCUAUUUGAUACAGACAAAGUUUUGGCCAAGCUAAACUUUUGCCACGUGUCGCAUAUAUCUGAAGUGAAGUGGUGCUAGUAUCCACCCGGAACGUGUGUAUAUUAUCCAGCUCACAUAUGGACAUGACGAAAUAUUACGGAAGGACCGAAGAAGACAAGUAAAUCCCUACACUAUACAACAGAGCUUAAAGAUGCAUGUGUAAAAUAAAAUAAAAUAUAUUCAAUUUAAUAUAAAAAUACAAUUAAAAUAUAAUUUAAGCAAAAGGC